rnacentral:misc_RNA from 1 species
GAUGAAGAACGUAGUGAAAUGCGAUACUUGGUGUGAAUUGCAGAAUCCCGUGAACCAUCGAGUUUUUGAACGCAAGUUGCGCCCGAAGCCGCUAGGCUGAGGGCACGCCUGCCUGGGUGUCACACAUCGUUGCCCCAAUGCCAAUCGCCUCACUUUGUAGGUAUUUGCUUGGGGUGAAUGUUGGCCUCCCGUGAGCUUUGUCUCACGGUUGGUUGAAAAUCGAGUGCAUGGUGUCGGGUGUACCAUGAUGGAUGGUGGUUGAGUGAUGAUGCUCGAGACCAAUCAUGGGUAACUCCACCAGAAUUGGGCUCGGUGACCCACAUGCGUCCCUUGGAUGCUCCCUAAGGAGACCUCAGGUCAGGCGGGGCUACCCGCUGAGUUUAAGCAUAUCAAUAAGCGGAGGA